CCGCACCCACAUUUGUAGUUUUUUUUUCAGUGGGUAGGCCCAGGUUUUCAUUUCUUUUGGCAACUAUUACGCCAGUUAAUUGUCAGGCUCGAAUAAAAGCAUUCAGAGCGGCGCCGAUGCACAAUUGGAACUUGUUCAGUCACUUUCGCUGAAAAAUUUCAUGUAGACUGACAGCCGACUGUCGUUGACACUUGGCGGUGACACUUUGCGCAUGCGUGCCAGAGCCAGAGGCCCCCAGAUGCCCCCCAGAUGCCCCCAGAUCCCCCCCUGUCUAAGUCAGAGUCCAGUUCGGACAAUGUCCGAAGUUUUAUUGUUGCCCUGGCUGGUCCGUCGCAACGCUUGUUUCAAUUGUUGCUAUUAAUUUUAUUUUAUUUAUACCGCACAGUACUUUUUCUGCACGCCUCGACGCGACGGCAAUUGACUUCAAAUGUCUCGCAUUUGGCCGGCCGAAGAGAAAAGUUACAACAACUAUGAAAGUUUCUGUGGGCUCUGUGCACAUUCAUUUUGGCUUUUUCUUCAUUUUUUCGAUAAUAACCAUCACAAAUUGAAACUAAUAUAGCUUGACUUGAUAACUUUCCCAAAAGAAAAUAAUGAAAAGCUGCAUUUAAAUCACACAGUUCGCCAGAGAAACAGAUAGAAAUUUGGAGAAUGUGGGAAUAUUAUGUAAUAUUAUUAAUCGGCAAUCAAUUACCAAUAGACCCGUGUAGGCAGCUAAGCCAUUUCGCGCUGCUUUCGGUUUCCAUGAAGGUGAAAACCGCAUUCAUAAUCUCCAAUAGAGUACAAGGGGUCUCUCAAUGCGAGCAGAAAAUUCAAUAAAACACCGAUACGCAAUUCUAGAUCGAUAAUCGAUUAAUAACCGUCUAAAUUUAAAUUUGGGCCUCGAAAUAACCGCAAUUCAAAAGAAUCGCAUGGGGGCUUGUCUCAGCAGCUUUUCAACUAAAUUUCAUUUGUCAAAAUAUACAAAAUAAAUACAGCACAAAUAUGGAUUUACGGAGACAUAUGCUAAAAGAUGAACUCUUUGAUAAGCUGUGACGGUCAGAAGUCGUAUUAAAAGAUGUCUGAAAAGGAAAAGAGCUCAAUAAACUAAGUAAUGGAGAACGCAUCAAUUAUAAAGUCAAAUCAAAU